UGGCUUAAAUGUAGAGUGCAUUUUUAGAGAUAGAAAUUCCCUUCGGGGCUUUCUGCAAGGUGCUGCAUGGUUGUCGCCAGCUCGUGCCGUGAGGUGUCGGGUUAAGUCCCAUAACGAGCGCAACCCUUAUCGUUAGUUGCCAUCUGGUAAUGCAGGGGACUCUAGCGAAACUGCCACCGUAAGGUGAGAGGAAGUGGGAUGACGUCAAAUCAGCACGGCCCUUAUGUCCAGGGCUACACACGUGUUACAAUGGUCGGUACAGAGGGCAGCUACCUGGUGACAGGAUGCUAAUCUCGAAAACCGGUCUCAGUUCGGAUCGAAGUCUGCAACUCGACUUCGUGAAGCUGGAUUCGCUAGUAAUCGCGCAUCAGCUAUGGCGCGGUGAAUACGUUCCCGGGCCUU
rnacentral:rRNA from 1 species